GGGAGGCCCGCGGUGACGGCGUCCGGCUGCGCCGGCCGUGCGGGAGUUAGGGGCGGGGGGAGCCGGGGAGUGGGCUCAGCGGCCGCGACCCCGGCGGCCUCCGCGGGCGGCCCCCUUGUGAGUGUUAGAGUCCGUCUUACGCUGGAGAGAAGGUGGAAGGCUGGACGGAACUGGCCAGGGGCUUUCCUCCCCUUGCGGCUCAGGUCGGCCCGGCUCCGGCGCCUCCGCCUCCGCCUCCCGGGACUCCGAGCGUGGGCCUUUCCCGGGCCUAGAGACGAGGAGUAGAAUGCCGUGUUUUAAGACUGAGUCAUUCAUCUGUUGAGCAUCAACAAGCUGGCGACAUCAUGGUCUACAGGACCGGCAAGCGCCCUGCCGCAUGGGCUGCUCUGCCUUAUUUGUAGACUGAAGAGGGUGUGCCAAAGCUGGAGAUGCAGUCGCAAUCUGCUGUGUAGUUAGAAGAGGAGCCCUAGCAUUAACACUCCUCAAGGGAAGCUUAUGUUCCGGAGGCUUCCAUGCAGCUAAGGAAUCGUUGAACACUCCGUGAGAAACUUAGGGUGUGCUGUAUGCUGGCUAACGGAACGUAGUAAAUACAUAAAGAAAAGCCUCCGAUAAGAGAUAGCUGCAGAAAUGCUGGCUCUUCGCGGAGGUUCUGCUUUUCCUGGGUGGUCUGCUGAGCUGCUGCUUCUGCUGUGCUCCCAUGGACCACGCACAUGCCUUUCCC